rnacentral:rRNA from 1 species
GAUGAACGCUGGCGGCGUGCCUAAUACAUGCAAGUCGAGCGAACAGACGAGGAGCUUGCUCCUCUGACGUUAGCGGCGGACGGGUGAGUAACACGUGGAUAACCUACCUAUAAGACUGGGAUAGCUUCGGGAAACCGGAGCUAAUACCGGAUAAUAUAUUGAACCGCAUGGUUCAAUAGUGAAAGACGGUUUUGCUGUCACUUAUAGAUGGAUCCGCGCCGCAUUAGCUAGUUGGUAAGGUAACGGCUUACCAAGGCAACGAUGCGUAGCCGACCUGAGAGGGUGAUCGGCCACACUGGAACUGAGACACGGUCCAGACUCCUACGGGAGGCAGCAGUAGGGAAUCUUCCGCAAUGGGCGAAAGCCUGACGGAGCAACGCCGCGUGAGUGAUGAAGGUCUUCGGAUCGUAAAACUCUGUUAUUAGGGAAGAACAAAUGUGUAAGUAACUAUGCACGUCUUGACGGUACCUAAUCAGAAAGCCACGGCUAACUACGUGC